AGAUUAAAGACUCAGGCAAUGUGGCUAACCAUUCUCUGUAAUGUAAAUGGUCGGACUGUUAUAUUUCUUCUUUAAAUAUAACAGAAGGUCUCUCAAACCUUUUGGAUAAUUAAAAAGCCAGCUCACAUCAGUCUGUAAAAUUAUUGACACCAAUAUUUUGGUCAUCAAAAUGGCUGUUUGAAGAAGGCAGAAACAGAGGAAAAGUUUUUUUUUUCUCGGCUGCAAGAACUUACGGGUGUGCCGAUCGGAACUCCAUUCUUCUCAGCUGCAAGAACCAAAAGGUCUGGUAUUCUUUUCGACUCACCAUCCAAAAAGGAAAUCCCGAGCCCUGGAAGCUGCCUUGCGGUCCGCGGUUGUAUCAAAUUUUGGUUCAAACCAAGUGGUUACUAAGAGAUUGACGGCGGCUGCAUGGGAAAGAAGAAAAUGAUGGGCUAAGAUAUAAGGCCGGGUUGAAGAGGGGGGUAAGCCCUGGCCGAAGCCUAAGCUCCACCCAUUAGGUUCAUUCAUGGUCACCCAACGCUUGACUCGAUCCCCAAAUGUUUUAAAGCAAAAAUCAGCAUAAUCUACAAAGUCAUCCCUGUCAAGGAAAAAAAAACAAUUUAAUCAUUCUUUUUAAUAUAUAGAUGUUGAACUAAAAUAUUUUAGAUUAAAUGAAAAAUCCACCAUUUUAUUUGAAAUGACUAAGAGAAUACAUUUUGUUAAGGGAUUUUGACUUCAAAAAAUGUUGAUUGUUGGGAGCCGAUAGGCUUCUUAACAUAUAUGAUAUUAUUUUCGGAGUUUUGUUUUUUUAACUUUGUUGAGAAUUUGAGAA